GUCCGCUUGCAGGAGCCCCAGGGCUUUUAAAAGCGGGGCACGCCACUGCUCUUUCAACGGAGGAGGGAGGCAGAGGGCUCACGGAUCAAUGAACUUUCAGCUGACACCACGCUUUGAGGGCCAUGGGAUCAUUCUGUGCUGCAGCGAGGACCUGCCUGCCUCACCAGAUGUGCUGAGCCCAUCCUUUCUAAUCCAGAGGGGUCCAAACUAGGAUCUGAAGAGGAGUCCUGAGAACCCAGCAGGUGCCCUGAAGAUCCCCCUCCAUCGGUGGAAGUCGGCUCAAGGAGGUCCUGAAGACUGGACUCCUGGGGGUUUGGCCCGGGGACAGGAUACUCAAGGACUCCUCUCCCACCCCGCCCCAAACUGGACCUCAGCCCCCACGCCACAGCCCCCACUUUCUCCCCAGAGCUGAGGGACAGAGAAUUGCGACUAGAAAUUCGAUCGAUUGCUACGAGGGACCACGUGGCCAGGGGCUGGCCAAUGACCAGGCCGCCCAGGAUGAGUAAUAAUGGAAGCAAUUUGUAACUUUCAGUAACUCUCUAGGCCUGGGUACCGGAGGGAGGGAGGCGGGCAAAGGAAGGGAGAUGGGCACCCCCAGUCUUUCCAUCCUCCUCAUUCGUCUAGGUGCACCCGAAUCCCCUAUUCCUUAUUUCCCGUAUCACUCAGGCACUGGCAGCGUCCUUUGCCCACUCCUGUUGGCCGCGGCGGCUCCAAAGCGAGGGUUUCCCAGAGGAAGAGAGAGAAUUUGGACAAAUGAAUGAGGAACAACGCUCUCCUGAGGGUUUUCUUUAAGGGGCGAGGAUCACUGCCGCUAGCUCCUUUGAAAGCAAAGUUAAGAGGCAGCGCAGGAAGGCACAGCAGGAAGGCUCAUGGUUAGACUACAGAGAAGGAAGCAGCCACUGCUGGGGACCUACCCUGUGCUGGUCACUGACAAGCUGUCUCAUUAAACCUUCCCGGACCCUCAACCCCUCCUAGUAUCUUAUCCUCAUUUUACAGAUGAGAAGACUGCGGCCAAGAGAGGUCCAAUGCCAGUGGGAUCAGCUUCGAUGGGAUGCGCACAGACUGACCUCUUCUCCCCAGCCCCUUCAACUUCCCAGAGCUGCAGGGGGCCUGGGAGUUCUUGGUAACAGCACAUUAAACCUCUGUUUGUGGGAACUUUAAUUUAAACACAAAUUAGAGAAGGCAAAUGACUCUGGCAGCCAGAUAAGCCAUCCCAGGAAAACAAGGAGAAAGCCAAGAGAAUCAGCCCAGAUAAGGUCUGACUUUAAACUACUGCUGAUACCCAGAAGCCUGGGACAGAUGAAAUCUAGGGGUCCUGAAUGAAGAACCCCAGAAGCUCCACACCCCAGUUGUCCUUGCUCUGGGCUCUAUGCCAGCUCCCUUUCCUGUGUUCUCUAUAUUUCUAUCUUUUUGCAAAAUUUUAUCCUGAUUCUUUGGCUCCAUCCCUCCCACCCCCACCCUACUGUUUUAGAGAAUGCACUUUCUUUACUUUGCUUCUCAUCUUCUUCUGUGACCUACUAUUCUGAGAAAGUUCUAC
rnacentral:lncRNA from 1 species